rnacentral:rRNA from 1 species
UACGUAGGGGGCGAGCGUUAUCCGGAUUUACUGGGUGUAAAGAGCGCGUAGGCGGUUCCGUAAGUUGGUUGUGAAAGUUCGAGGCUCAACCUCGAAACUGCGUCCAAUACUGCGGGGCUGGAGUGCAAGAGAGGCAAGUGGAAUUUGCAGUGUAGUAGUGAAAUGCGUAGAUAUUGCAAGGAACACCAGUGGCGAAGGCGGCUUGCUAGCUUGUAACUGACGCUGAGGCGCGAAAGCUAGGGGAGCGAACGGG